rnacentral:rRNA from 1 species
GACGAACGCUGGCGGCGUGCCUAAUACAUGCAAGUAGAACGCUGAAGGAGGAGCUUGCUUCUCUGGAUGAGUUGCGAACGGGUGAGUAACGCGUAGGUAACCUGCCUGGUAGCGGGGGAUAACUAUUGGAAACGAUAGCUAAUACCGCAUAAUAGUAGAUGUUGCAUGACAUUUGCCUAAAAGGUGCAAUUGCAUCACUACCAGAUGGACCUGCGUUGUAUUAGCUAGUUGGUGGGGUAACGGCUCACCAAGGCGACGAUACAUAGCCGACCUGAGAGGGGGAUCGGCCCCCCUGGGACUGAGACACGGCCCAGACUCCUACGGGAGGCAGCAGUAGGGAAUCUUCGGCAAUGGACGGAAGUCUGACCGAGCAACGCCGCGUGAGUGAAGAAGGUUUUCGGAUCGUAAAGCUCUGUUGUAAGAGAAGAACGAGUGUGAGAGUGGAAAGUUCACACUGUGACGGUAUCUUACCAGAAAGGGACGGCUAACUACGUG